UGUUAGCGGCGGACGGGUGAGUAACACGUGGGUAACCUGCCUGUAAGACUGGGAUAACUCCGGGAAACCGGGGCUAAUACCGGAUGGUUGUUUGAACCGCAUGGUUCAAACAUAAAAGGUGGCUUCGGCUACCACUUACAGAUGGACCCGCGGCGCAUUAGCUAGUUGGUGAGGUAACGGCUCACCAAGGCAACGAUGCGUAGCCGACCUGAGAGGGUGAUCGGCCACACUGGGACUGAGACACGGCCCAGACUCCUACGGGAGGCAGCAGUAGGGAAUCUUCCGCAAUGGACGAAAGUCUGACGGAGCAACGCCGCGUGAGUGAUGAAGGUUUUCGGAUCGUAAAGCUCUGUUGUUAGGGAAGAACAAGUACCGUUCGAAUAGGGCGGUACCUUGACGGUACCUAACCAGAAAGCCACGGCUAACUACGUGCCAGCAGCCGCGGUAAUACGUAGGUGGCAAGCGUUGUCCGGAAUUAUUGGGCGUAAAGGGCUCGCAGGCGGUUUCUUAAGUCUGAUGUGAAAGCCCCCGGCUCAACCGGGGAGGGUCAUUGGAAACUGGGGAACUUGAGUGCAGAAGAGGAGAGUGGAAUUCCCCGUGUAGCGGUGAAAUUCGUAGAGAUGUGGAGGAACACCAGUGGCGAAGGCGACUCUCUGGUCUGUAACUGACGCUGAGGAGCGAAAGCGUGGGGAGCGAACAGGAUUAGAUACCCUGGUAGUCCACGCCGUAACCGAUGAGUGCUAAGUGUUAGGGGGGUUUCCGCCCCUUAGUGCUGCAGCUAACGCAUUAAGCACUCCGCCUGGGGGAGUACGGUCGCAAGACUGAAACUCAAAGGAAUUGACGGGGGCCCGCACAAGCGGUGGAGCAUGUGGUUUAAUUCGAAGCAACGCGAAGAACCUUACCAGGUCUUGACAUCCUCUGACAAUCCUAGAGAUAGGACGUCCCCUUCGGGGGCAGAGUGACAGGUGGUGCAUGGUUGUCGUCAGCUCGUGUCGUGAGAUGUUGGGUUAAGUCCCGCAACGAGCGCAACCCUUGAUCUUAGUUGCCAGCAUUCAGUUGGGCACUCUAAGGUGACUGCCGGUGACAAACCGGAGGAAGGUGGGGAUGACGUCAAAUCAUCAUGCCCCUUAUGACCUGGGCUACACACGUGCUACAAUGGACAGAACAAAGGGCAGCGAAACCGCGAGGUUAAGCCAAUCCCACAAAUCUGUUCUCAGUUCGGAUCGCAGUCUGCAACUCGACUGCGUGAAGCUGGAAUCGCUAGUAA
rnacentral:rRNA from 1 species